ACCUUUAGGAUACAGUAUCAUAGCCAAUGAGGUUAAUCUGAGGCAUGAUUAUUGCUAGUUGUAAACUUUUCCCAGUGUCCAUAAGUGACUGGCUUAUUUCUUCUUCUUCCCAAUAUCUAAUCUCAGUAUCUGAAAAAAGA